rnacentral:tRNA from 1 species
UGGACCAAAGCCAGUUGAUUAGGGUAUUUAGCUGUUAACUAAAUUUUUAUGGGUUUGAGUCCCAUUGGUCUAG